UACGUAGGGUGCGAGCGUUAAUCGGAAUUACUGGGCGUAAAGCGUGCGCAGGCGGUUUUGUAAGCCGGAUGUGAAAUCCCCGGGCUUAACCUGGGAAUGGCAUUCGGGACUGCAAGGCUGGAGUUCGGGAGAGGAGCGUGGAAUUCCCAGUGUAGAGGUGAAAUUCGUAGAUAUUGGGAAGAACACCGGUGGCGAAGGCGGCGCUCUGGACCGAGACUGACGCUGAGGCGCGAAAGCGUGGGGAGCAAACAGG
rnacentral:rRNA from 1 species